rnacentral:rRNA from 1 species
AUUGAACGCUGGCGGCAUGCUUUACACAUGCAAGUCGGACGAGUGGCGUACGUGUGCGUAACAUAUUGGAACGUACCGAGUAAUCGGGGAUAACUAAUCGAACGAUUAUCUAAUACCGCAUACUAUUCGAGCGGCCGUCAUCUGAUUAGCUGGUUGGUGGGGUAAAGGCCUACAAAGGCAACGAUCAGUAGCGGGUCUGAGAGGAUGAUCCGCCACACGGGGACUGAGAAACGGACCAGACUCAUACGGGAGGCAGAAGUGGGGAAUUUGGGGCAAUGGGCGCAAGCCUGAUCCAGCCAUGCCGCGUGUCUGAAGAAGGACUUCGGGUUGUAAAGGACUUUUGUCAGUGAAGCGGUACCUGAAGAAUAAGCACCGGCUAACUACGUGCCAGCAGCCGCGGUAAUUC